AGCUUUGCGCAGUGGCAGUAUCGUAGCCAAUGAGGUUUAGCCAAGGUGCAAUUAUUGCUAAAUGAAAACUUUUCCCAAAACAGAGCCUAAGGUUACAAAAACAGCAAAAAUUUGCCUAUGGGUUGAGGGUUCAGGGAUGGGUUUGCAUGGCAAAUUUCUGAAUUCUCACUAAAUA
rnacentral:snRNA from 1 species